AAAAAGCCACAGGCUGCCCCAGGAAGGCCCAGGCCACUGGAGACCACAGCUAGAACCUACAACCAUGUCCCGAGACUGCUCGGCCUUGCCCUUUGGAUGCUUGGGCACAGCAGGAAGGAAGUGAUAAGGGUGCCUCCACUGCUGGAUGGGGCGUGUCUGUCAGUCCAUCUUCCCCCCGCUGUCUGCCCAGCAAGACCAGGGGCCACCCCCAGGUGCUCCCCAGGGGAUUAGCAGCUUGGUUCCCCAGCCCACACCCCUAGAAGCUCUGACCCUAUGGCAACAGCACCCCCUGCUGGCUAAUAUGGAAAACCAACCCCUUUCCCUCCUCUAGCAGGCGGAAGUUUAGGGGUCUUGGAGAAAGAGAAGGGUGCAGGCACAAUGCUGCGGGAAAGGGUGGGGGCAGGAAUUCAGGAUGGACUUUGGCUAUGGCAGAUAAGCAGGUGCCACCUGGUAAACAGAGCACCUAUUUCCUGAUCAGUAGCCUUUGAACAGAUGCCAGAGAGGCCAGGACACAAGCAAAGGCAGAAAUGGGGGUUUCUAAGGUAACUGCUGAGCGAGGCUGGCUCUCGUGGGAGUCCCUGCCUUCUCCUACAGCAUCAUGGCCCAGGAAGGCCUGCAUCCUCUGUUGAGCACUGUUCUCCUCAGGUGGGCUCAGGAACUCCCUCAGAUUCCCCCUGAGCAAGCCACCUGGCCCCACAGAGGAUUUGGCCUAGGACUGAAGGCUGAGAGCUAGGCCUGAGACAGGGUAGUGCCCCAGGCACCCCAAAAAGAGGAUUUGUCCCUAAAAUUCCUCCCGCAACUAUCCAAGGCUAGGAAUAGAGGCAGGGACACAUCAGCAGAACAAAAUCUCAGAGCGUCCCUGAGCAGCUGCCUGGCUCUUCAGAUGCAAACCUGGUUAGACACACACUUCUCCUGAGCUCUAGGCCCAUGGCUCAGGCACAAGGACCACCUCGGAGUGCUGGAUGAGGUGCCCAGUGGACAGAGGAGUGAGAGGACCCAGUGUAUGCCACUUUGACCCUUCAGCUGUGAGCCAGGAAGUCCAGGCAGACACAGCCACAAGCAGGGCCAUGCCCUGGGCAGCCACUUCCCAGAAAAGUUUCUGCCGCAAAACAGAGAGAGUGGCCUUCCCUGCCCUGCAUGACCCUGGCACCUGGAGUCCUCACCUCAGAUAAGAAGCCAGUAGUUCUAGGAGUUUACUUACAUCAUGGCUCUUGAUUACAGUGAAGACCGGGGCCUUGCCCUACCCCAGGGAAACUUCUCUCCCGGGCCAAUGGUGUGGAUGGCUGCUGUUCUCUUAUGACUCAGUGUGGGCCUGGUGCUCAGGAGAGCUGCUCCUUCCCAUGCCCUGGAUGUGAGCUCAGCAGCCAUCUUGAUUCACCAGGACAAUGUGAGCUCCACACACCACCCUCAGACCCUCACCUACCGGGCUCUCAGGGAGAGAUGAGGCCUCCCGGAGAGUCCACAAAGAGAAAAAAGCGGCUUGGCUGCCAAAACUGCCCACGCACCCCAGAUGCCAUGCUCAGCUAGCAGCCCUGGUGCCACACAGCCUGAGAGCAGGUGGGAGCCAUAGAUGCAACAAGCUGUCAUCAGGCAUGGGAGGGCUGGGCUGCCAUGCUGAGGCUGGUGGGGUGGGAAAAUCAACUUGCAGCCACCAGGAAGUACAGGAGCAGAGUAAACAACAGUUGAGGUCAAAAGGGUCCAAUUUCCUUGGACAAGCAGGCCUCAAGAAGGCCUCUGAGCUGCACUGCCAACUGUAUUGUAUUCUUGUGUGUGUUCUGUGUGAACCUAACACCCCCGGCGGCCAAGGGAAGCCCCUUGGCCCUCCCUUGGGUGGCAGCCAACACUAGGACCAGAGAAGUGGCAGUUGUGUCAUAAAGUUCCCAAGACACUUCUGGAGGAAUCAAUCUUCUUUUUUAGUCUUCUCUGCUCAUUUUUUCUUGUCAUUUUCCUGUAUGUGUAUCUUUUCCCUCUCUCUUCUAGCCCAGAAAUGCUUAUUGACCACUGGUGGCCUAUUGGGAGUGGAUUACUUGACACAUUCACAUUUACUCUGUGCCCAGAUGCUAGGCACAGAAGUAGGUGCUAUGGGCACAGGCAUUCGACAAGAAUUUAUUGAGCCCAUACUAUGUGCCAGACAUGGCUCUAGACCCUAAGGAUAUAGAAAUGAAUAAGGCAACACCCCUGCUCUUAUGAAACUCAUAUACCGGUGGAGGCAGACAACACACAAAUAAACAAGGAAAGUGUCACAUCGUGAUAAUUAUUCUGAGAAAUAAAAUAGCAUGAUAUCAUACAGAGUACAGAGGUGGUCACAUUAGAUUUGGCACUCUAGGACUGUCUAUCUGAGGAGGUGACAUUUUAGUUCUCUAAGUGACAGAAGGGGUGACAAUGUGCAGAACAAGGGGAAGCGCAUUCCAGGCAGAGGGAAUAGCUAGUGCCAAGGCCUUGGGAAAAGAACAAGCUCAGUCUGUUUGCAGGAAAAGAUUGGUGUGGCUGCAGCAUGGUGGGCAAGGAGGUGAAUGAUAGACGAUGAAUGAUAGAACAUGCAGCUCAUAAGGUAGGAAGGGGUCAGAUAAGGUGGGCAUUUGGGGCCUCUGAUCAGGGGCUUGGGCCUUAUGCACAGGGUGAAAUGGGCCAGUGUGCAUUUUACUUAUUUUUAAACUUUUAAGUUUUCUGUUUUUCAUUUUUUUAGAUGGAAAAAUGUUGUCCAGGCUGGUCUCGAACUCUUGAGCUCAAGCAUUUAUCCUGCCUCAGCCUCCUGAGUAGUUGGGAUUACAGGUGCUCAUCACUGUGCCUGGCUCAGUGUGCAUUUUAGAAAGCUCACUGGCUGCUGUUUGCAGACUGGGCUGCAGUGGGGCAAGUGUGGAAAUAAGGAGACCACUGGGGAGACUGGAGUAGGAGGGAUGAACUAGAGUGGUGGUGGUGGCAAUGAUGAGAAUGGGGAAUGAACCCAGGCAGAGUAUAGAGGGGAGGACACACAGAGAUGAAUAAAAUGUGGUGGCUCCGAAUGGGAGAAAAUAUUUGCAAAACAUAUAUCUAGUAAAGGGUAUGUAUCUAGCAUAUGUAAAGAAUGCUUACAACUCAAUAAGGCAAUGCAUUUUUGUUUGUUUGUUUGUUUGUUUGUUUUUUGAGACAGAGUCUCACUCUGUAGCCCAAACUGGAGUGCAGUGGCACGAUCUCAGCUCACUGCAACCUUCGCCUCAGGGGCUCAAGCGAUUCUUGCGCCUCAGCCUCCUGAGUAGCUGAGACUACAUGCGUGUCACCACGCUCAGCUAAUUUUUUGUCUUUUAAGCA
rnacentral:lncRNA from 1 species